rnacentral:rRNA from 1 species
GGGCCCGCACAAGCGGUGGAGUAUGUGGUUUAAUUCGAUGCAACGCGAAGAACCUUACCAGGACUUAAAUGUAAGUUGCAUGAUUCAGAAAUGAAUCUUUCUUCGGACUACUUACAAGGUGCUGCAUGGUUGUCGUCAGCUCGUGCCGUGAGGUGUCAGGUUAAGUCCUAUAACGAGCGCAACCCCUAUCGUUAGUUGCCAUCAAGUAAAGUUGGGAACUCUAGCGAAACUGCCGGUGCAAACCGAGAGGAAGGUGGGGAUGACGUCAAAUCAUCACGGCCCUUACGUUCUGGGCUACACACGUGCUACAAUGGUCGGUACAGAAAGCAGCCACUAUGCGAAUAGGAGCUAAUCUUUAAAACCGAUCUCAGUUCGGAUCGCAGUCUGCAACUCGACUGCGUGAAGCUGGAAUCGCUAGUAAUCG